UACAGAGGUCUCAAGCGUUGUUCGGAUUCAUUGGGCGUAAAGGGUGCGUAGGCGGGCAGGUAAGUCAGUGGUGAAAUCUCCGGGCUUAACCCGGAAACUGCCGUUGAUACUAUCUGUCUUGAAUAUCGUGGAGGUAAGCGGAAUAUGUCAUGUAGCGGUGAAAUGCUUAGAUAUGACAUAGAACACCCAUUGCGAAGGCAGCUUACUACACGAUCAUUGACGCUGAGGCACGAAAGCGUGGGGAGCAAACAGG
rnacentral:rRNA from 1 species